GACGGCAGGCUACAACGCUGGGGAGACGGGAGCCGUCCCUAUUCUACCUAAGGCAGCUUUUAGCGGGGUAAACAACCGGGGCAGCCUCACUCCCCGACAGUGGCCACGCGGAUGUACCGCAGGGUCUCACCCUACCACAUCCCCGCCGCUGCGGCCGGGAGGGGCUCAGACCCCGGGGGGGACAGGCGGGAGAACCGGCGGAAGCCGAGGCCGCAGGGAUCCCACCCCAGAUUCUGAUGAAAUGUUUGUGUCCUCUAGACUGUUUAAAAUUCUGGGAGGAAUGUUCCAAAAAAGCUUUUCUGAUUUUGAGAGCUCCACAGAGAAAGAAUCACACAGGUACCUGAUUGCUUCCUUGGAUCAAUGUCUCAGCUCUUUAGAGGAUGCUCUAGUUCACGGAUAGCUGUGCAGACCUCCUGAAAGAGGUGGAUCUCAAAGAGCUGUGAUUCAUGCCAGAAUCAGACUUCACAUGCUGAAAAUGGAAAAGAGAAAUUAAAAGCCAAAUUUUUUUAAGUCUUC